rnacentral:rRNA from 1 species
UUACGCUGUUAUCCCUAAGGUAAUUUAAUCUUACAAUCAAAAUAAAUGGAUCAAAUAACUAUAAAUCAAUAUAACCAAAACCAAGAGGAGUUAAACACAUUCCUCCCAUCACCCCAACAAAACAAAAAGCCCACUCACCAAAAACAAACAAACAACAAAUAAGCAAAUAAACCAAAUGUCAAACUCUAUAGGGUCUUCUCGUCCCACAAAAACAUCUAAGAAUUUUAACUCAAAGACCAAAUUCAAUAAAACAUUCAACACUAAGACAGCCCGUGCCUCGUCAAGCCAUUCAUUCCAGAUCACAAUUAAAGAACUAAUGAUUAUGCUACCUUUGCACGGUCAAAAUACCGCGGCCCUUCAACACCAAAUGUCAGCGGGCAGGCCAUACUUCAAAAACUAACAAGAAAAGAUGUUUUUGAUAAACAGGCG